GCGCCCGUGGCUCAACUGGAUAGAGUAGCGGUUUUCGGCACCGCCGGUUACAGGUUCGAACCCUGUCGGGCGCACCA
rnacentral:tRNA from 1 species